GCUGUCAAUGACUGUGAGGGGAAGUGCUUAAAUGGAGGAGCAUGCAAGGACCUGACCGACGAUUACAGCUGCGAGUGCAAGCCGGGCUACACGGGCAGACGCUGCGAGACGGAGGCGGACAAGUGUGCUGCGAGCCCGUGCCUCAACGGCGGCCAGUGCAGGGACGCCGUCGAUUCCUACGACUGCGUUUGCACGGACGGCUUUGCCGGCGACAGCUGCCAACUGCACGUGGAAGUCUGCGUCCCGAACCCGUGCCAGAACGGGGCCCGGUGUGAGAACCUCCCCACGGG